CGGUAAUACCGGCAGCCCAAGUGAUGACCGCUAUUAUUGGGCCUAAAGCGUCCGUAGCUGGCCAGGCAAGUCCGUCGGGAAAUCCGCGCGCUUAACGCGCGGGCGUCCGGUGGAAACUGCGUGGCUUGGGACCGGAAGACCUGAGGGGUACGUCUGGGGUAGGAGUGAAAUCCCGUAAUCCUGGACGGACCACCGGUGGCGAAAGCGCCUCAGGAGGACGGAUCCGACGGUGAGGGACGAAAGCUCGGGUCACGAACCGGAUUAGAUACCCGGGUAGUCCGAGCUGUAAACGAUGUCUGCUAGGUGUGCCACAGGCUACGAGCCUGUGGUGUGCCGUAGGGAAGCCGUGAAGCAGACCGCCUGGG
rnacentral:rRNA from 1 species